rnacentral:rRNA from 1 species
AUUGAACGCUGGCGGCAGGCCUAACACAUGCAAGUCGAGCGGUAGAGAGAAGCUUGCUUCUCUUGAGAGCGGCGGACGGGUGAGUAAUGCCUAGGAAUCUGCCUAGUAGUGGGGGAUAACGUUCGGAAACGGACGCUAAUACCGCAUACGUCCUACGGGAGAAAGUGGGGGAUCUUCGGACCUCACGCUAUUAGAUGAGCCUAGGUCGGAUUAGCUAGUUGGUGAGGUAAUGGCUCACCAAGGCUACGAUCCGUAACUGGUCUGAGAGGAUGAUCAGUCACACUGGAACUGAGACACGGUCCAGACUCCUACGGGAGGCAGCAGUGGGGAAUAUUGGACAAUGGGCGCAAGCCUGAUCCAGCCAUGCCGCGUGUGUGAAGAAGGUCUUCGGAUUGUAAAGCACUUUAAGUUGGGAGGAAGGGCAGUAAC